GACGAACGCUGGCGGCGUGCUUAACACAUGCAAGUCGAACGAUGAAGUUCCUUCGGGAAUGGAUUAGUGGCGAACGGGUGUGAAACACGUGAGAAACCUGCCUUUCAUUUUGGGAUAACUCCGGGAAACCGGAGCUAACACCGAAUACUCCGUCUCGGCGGCAUCGCUGAGCCGGGAAAAAAUUUUGAUGAAAGAUGGUCUCGCGGCCUAUCAGCUAGUUGGUGAGGUAAUGGCUCACCAAGGCGACGACGGGUAGCCGGCCUGAGAGGGCGACCGGCCACACUGGGACUGAGACACGGCCCAGACUCCUACGGGAGGCAGCAGUGGGGAAUAUCGGGCAAUGGGCGCAAGCCUGACCCAGCGACGCCGCGUGAGGGAUGAAGGCCUUCGGGUUGUAAACCUCUUUCAGUAGGGAAGAAGCGAAAGUGACGGUACCUAAAGAAGAAGCACCGGCUAACUAUGCGCCAGCCGCCGCAGUAA
rnacentral:rRNA from 1 species